GUUAGAUUUCACCUCUCAAAUCUUGUUUGCAAGUCCUAGUUAUUUUAUCAAAAAUGUACCAAACAUCAGAAUCACUCAGAUAUAAUGAACACAAACAAUUUAAAACACAAAAAAGUGACCUUUCAGUUAUCCACCACCGUAAAAGUAAUAGGAGAAUACAAGAAAGAUACAGCUCAAGAAAACUAUAAGGGACCUUGAGCUUGUGAUGGUGGAGGAAGCAUAGGCCAGCCAAGAAGUUGAGGUGAGCCAGGAGGUGUUGAGUGCUGACUAGGAGAGAAUACACUUAGUUCCACAAAAGCCACCCCUGAGGUAGUAUCCUUGUCCGUUGUUCGAAAGGAGAUG
rnacentral:misc_RNA from 1 species